CUUCGAGUUUAACCAAAUGAGAUCAUCUCUGUCAUGUGCCUCACGCCUCACAGGGACUCCAUGUGUGAAGAUUCCCCCUUCACUCACCAGAUCAUCUCCAUGGCAACAGCUUGCAGCCUGCUCUUGGAGUGCUUUGUUUUGGCAGCUUCUCUGCUAGUUUGUGUAUGGAGUGAAUGGAGGAGGUAAAUCCACAGAUUAAGAAUAUGCUGUCAGGAGUCAGGCAGCCAAGGUCAGAAGCCAGCUCUGCUUCUCAGUGGUAAGGUGCUUGACUUCUACAUCUCAAUUUUCACCCACUUUGUACUUUUUUCCUAAAUUAAAUGAGUAUAAUAGUAGUACCUACUUGAUAGGACUUUUGUGAAAAUUAAAUGAUAUAAUGCACCUAAAAACAGUACUGUUACAACUAAUAGGAAAGGCUUUGAUUAUUAAUGGAUGAGAGUAGAAAGCUUGGUGCAUUUAUUGUCUCAUCUACUAUAACAGAGUUGGUGUGAGAAUUAGUAUUAUCAUCCUCCCUUUAUUGACCAGGAAACCAGCUCAUUGAGAUUGAGUCAUCUGCUGGUAAAUGGUCUCAUUAAGAGGUGGACCCAUAUUUCUCUAGCUUUCUCUUUACAACACAGGACUUUGCAAGGAACAUAUAAUUCUGUGACUAGCGCCAUUUGGAAAAUGUUGAAACUGAAGUAGAGAUGAGAGAUCUUACGUCUGCCUACCCAGUGAGAUACGAGGAAGGUCAAGGGAAAAAAAAUUCCAAGCUCUUCUUUAUCUGCUAUAGGAAAUGAACAUUCAAUUUUUUGCAUGCAACGACAAGAGGUCAAGGACCCCAGAAGCCAGCCCGCUACUUCCAAGUUGAGAGCCCCUGGUCAUACCCUCCAGUUGAGCUCAGAUUUGUCACAAAUUUACCCCUCUCCUUUCCUUCCAUUCCCCAUGACCUGCAGAGAGAGAUGUCAGAUACCUUCCUCUUGGCCUCCCAUGGGCAUCCAUAAGAAACUUACUUGAAGCAAGAAGCCCAGUAUAGGUGUCUGGGCAGUUGGACAUUUCCUCUAGCCAGAUCUGUCCGAAUAGAGCCAUCUGGGUACAUGACGCAGAGGGCAUUUGAUAAAUAACUGGAAAAGUCAAUAAAUCUUUGCUACCCUUCA
rnacentral:lncRNA from 1 species